GAUGAACGCUGGCGGCGUGCCUAAUACAUGCAAGUAGAACGCUGAAGCUUGGUGCUUGCACCGAGCGGAUGAGUUGCGAACGGGUGAGUAACGCGUAGGUAACCUGCCUGGUAGCGGGGGAUAACUAUUGGAAACGAUAGCUAAUACCGCAUAACAGUCGACAUUGCAUGAUGUUGAUUUGAAAGGGGCAAUUGCUCCACUACCAGAUGGACCUGCGUUGUAUUAGCUAGUUGGUGAGGUAACGGCUCACCAAGGCGACGAUACAUAGCCGACCUGAGAGGGUGAUCGGCCACACUGGGACUGAGACACGGCCCAGACUCCUACGGGAGGCAGCAGUAGGGAAUCUUCGGCAAUGGACGGAAGUCUGACCGAGCAACGCCGCGUGAGUGAAGAAGGUUUUCGGAUCGUAAAGCUCUGUUGUAAGAGAAGAACGAGUGUGAGAGUGGAAAGUUCACAGGGUGACGGAACUACCAGAAAGGAC
rnacentral:rRNA from 1 species